rnacentral:misc_RNA from 1 species
AACGCACAUUGCGCCCUUUGGCAUUCCGAGGGGCAUGCCCGUUCGAGCGUCAUUAAAUCCACUCAAGCCUGGCUUGGUAUUGGGUGACGGGGACUCCCCGCGCCCCCAUUUCGCCGGCCGGCCGUCGUUUGACUUAGCGUUGUGACACAUGUCGCUGACGACGAAGACGGACCACGCCGUUAAACCCCCUUGAAUGUUUAUUCAACAUUCAGUAAAGGUUGACCUCGGAUCGGGUAGGAAUACCCGCUGAACUUAA